rnacentral:lncRNA from 1 species
GGCUCAUGAGGGAACUGGAGCACAGAGAGAUUAAGAAACUGGCCUAAAGUCACACAGCUAGGAAGUGGCAAUGUUGGGAUUCAAACUAUGGCAAUCUGGCCCUAGAGGCUUCGCUCUUAACUGCUGUGCAAGAUUGUCUGCUUAAGAGCUCAUAUGGAUUGAGAAUUUAAUACAUGCCAGGUUUUUCUUAAUCUGCACAGGAACUUGGAUGGAAUAUUAUCCUGUUUUUACAGAUGCAGAAGCUGAACUUCAAAUAGAUGCAGCAACUUGCCCAAAUCACAGAGCCAGAAAGAGUGGAGCCAAAAAUCCACGCUUAGGAUGCCCAACUCGAGGGGUCCUCUUAACCACUAUUCCCCAUUGCCUCAGGCCACUCUUGUAUUGAUCUUAUUACUUCUCUCAGUUCUGGCAGAGGCCUGGGUAACAGAGGACUAGAACCAGGUGGCACCAAUCUUGCAACAGGCAACCAGCACCAAAAGUUCAAUCUUGAUAGCUUCUUCUUUGUCAGAAGGAGCAUUUUAAGAUAAUUCAAAUCACCGUCCGUUCUGCUACGUUGCUUGUUCCACUGCGCAUGUCAGAAAUUUCAGAAAAUAUUCUCCCCACCGAGACCGUGGAGGAGGGGACUAUGAGGAGCUCACAAACGUCAAGAAGGCAGUGACCUGACUAUAGGAAGGCUAAGAGAAGAGGUUUUCCCAGAGCUCCACAGUCAGAAGCAAUAACAUGGCUUGGAGAUCCAUGAGUGUGCCGGUGGCAGCUUUUCGUGGCUUCUCUGCAGUGGGUCACAAUCUUGGCAGCCCAUGAGAAUCACCCGCCUUUAAAAGUUGCCGAUUGCCUCAGCCCCAUACCCUUUACUGAUUAAAGUGGGCUGGUGUGGGGUCCAGGCUUCGGUAUUUUAUAUUCUCUCCCUAGAUUAUCUUAAAGUGGCACCAUACUUUUUUGGCUGUCCCAGCCAUGCCUGGAGCACCUGGUUUUUGACUUAUUGCAAGCAAAACAAGAUUAGAAUAAGAUGAAGCCCGUGAAGAUGUUUCUGACACUCCCGUGACAUGCCAGAAGAGAGGAGAGGGGCAGAAUCGGGGGAGCCAGAAAGAUCACUGUGGGAAUAUUCCUUCAACGGAGCCGAAGUGGGACAGAGAAAGUCCACAGAAGCCAGUAGAAGCAGGAAGAGAGGCUGAUGACUUCCUCCCAUGGGUUCCUAGAACCCUUAGAACACAGAUGCCAAGAAGACAAAUUGGCUUCACAAUAAUAGACCAAUAAAAGGGAAGAGGGCAGGGUUCUGGUGUUAAGGAUAUUGAGGUCACUGUGGCCAACCAGAGGGGAGUUUGUCCUUUGGAAUUAUGUAACAGGGAAGGGAAUUUGGGAGGCCAUUUGAGAGAACCAGAAAACUUAGUUGGCACUGAGUUUCUGGGAAAUUUGACACCAGAAGACCCAGGGCUCAGGGACAAAGAGAGGGAGGUGGAGGUCUGAGUGGGUCUCAUAUUUGCUUUGUGGGCUUCUGGGAAGUAUUUUAAAAUGUUUUUAUUUAAACUGUGUGCCUUAAGUGGACUCUCCAUUUACAUCCAACAUAACAUGCUUAUACUGAGAAAUACACAUUAUGAGAAAAUUCAGAGUGUUCCCUUUCCUGAUGCUCCCUCCCUGACUGCGCUGCCUUCUGCUCCAGGUCCGGGCAUUCUCACUUGUAUGUUCAGUUCAAAGGGAUGGGAAAUGACUCAAGGUUAGAGGAGCAUCUUGGAGAAAUUUGAGAAAAGUGUGUGAGAGGCUGGGUCUGCAGAAGACCAGUGGGAACAGAGAGGCUAUAUCCAAGCUGGGGUCCGCCCAGCGUGACCUGGAAAGCGGGCCUCUCCAGCCGAAGCCGGUGUCAGCUGUGGGGCUGCAAUCAUGAUUGAACUCUCUUUUAUUUUCUCUUUGUUUUUAAACAUGGAGUAAAGAUGAGAAAUGAAAGAAUUUUGAAAAACAGAGAAGAAAUACUCUGUCAAGUAGUGGGUUUGAACCCUGGCUUCUCCACUAACUAGCUGUGCAAUUUGGGGCAGAUCAGUUAACUUCACUUGGCCUCAGUUUCUUCAUCUGCAAAAUGAAAUUAAUAUUAAUAC